GACAGCAGCAGCCGCGGUAAUACGAGGGGGGCAAGCGUUGUUCGGAAUUAUUGGGCGUAAAGGGUGCGUAGGCGGUUUGGCAAGUUUGGUGUGAAAUCUUCGGGCUCAACUCGAAGUCUGCAUCGAAAACUGCCGGGCUUGAGUAUGGGAGAGGUGAGUGGAAUUUCCGGUGUAGCGGUGAAAUGCGUAGAUAUCGGAAGGAACACCUGUGGCGAAAGCGGCUCACUGGACCAUAACUGACGCUGAUGCACGAAAGCUAGGGGAGCAAACAGGAUUAGAUACCCCUGUAGUCCCUGUCUCUUAUAC
rnacentral:rRNA from 1 species